AUCUUACACCAGUUUGGGUCAUACAUAGUCUCACACACAUGCAUCUCACACCAGGUUGGGUCAUACAUAGUCUCACACACAUGCACCUCACACCAGGUUGGGUCAUACAUAGUCUCACACACAUGCAUCUCACACCAGGUUGGGUCAUACAUAGUCUCACACACAUGCACCUCACACCAGGUUGGGUCAUACAUAGUCUCACACACAUACAUCUUACACCAGGUUGGGUCAUACAUAGUCUCACACACAUGCAUCUUACACCAGGUUGGGUCAUACAUAGUCUCACAC